UACAGAGGGGGCUAGCGUUAUUCGGAAUUAUUGGGCGUAAAGAGCUCGUAGGCGGUCUGUUGCGUCUGCUGUGAAAACUCGGGGCUUAACCCCGAGCCUGCAGUGGAUACGGGCAGACUAGAGGUAGGUAGGGGAGAAUGGAAUUCCCGGUGUAGCGGUGAAAUGCGCAGAUAUCGGGAGGAACACCGGUGGCGAAGGCGGUUCUCUGGGCCUUACCUGACGCUGAGGAGCGAAAGCGUGGGGAGCGAACAGG
rnacentral:rRNA from 1 species